UGAAUUUAAAUGUAUAUGUGAGGAUCUGUGCGGGCGUGUGUUUAGUCCCACAUCGGUUAUUCGCCGAGAAGAUCUUUGGUACUUAUAAAAGACUAAGAAACCCAAAAAAUACCUUUCGGCUAGCCAUUUUGGGCGAGAUCCUGGAUUGUUACAAAUGGUAUCAGAGUGAACUCGGCUUAUAGCCUAUGUGGACUAGGAGAUACUGCAAUAUGGGUUUAUAGAGGCUGACCAUAGGCUGAUCGUGGUGCUUGUAAUUAUAUUUGAAUUGAUUUGAACCCUUAGCAUGACGAGAAUGUCAGGGCUUGAAUGGGGGGAGUAUGUGAGGACUCGUGCGGGCAUGUGUUUAGUUCCACAUCAGUUAUUCGCCGAGAAGAUCUUGGGUACUUAUAUGGGACUAAGGAACUCAAAAAAUACCUUCUGGCUAGCCAUUUUGGGUAAGAUCCUGGGUUGUUAUAGUUCAACCAAAAUUUUUAGGUUUACUUCUAUGCAGGUCUACAAGGCACAAGAUGUUGGUGUGAACGGUUUUGUGCUCUUUCCAAAAAUUCUUGAUGCAUAGAAGGCCAUUUUUAGUAUGCAGGCUCAUCUAUUAUUAUUAUUAUUAUUAAUCUUGAAUGGUAAAGAAUGUGAUACUUUUGUUCAUCCAGUUACAAACAAGAGAUGAAGCAUUCAACGACAAUGGUUUGGUACCCCAGGCAAUAUGCCUGCUGAAGGACAAAUACCCUGACAUUGUGUCAUCAUGAAGAUGAAAAAGAUCAUCAGUUGUGUAAACAGGCUGUUUGUCAGGCCCUUGAAGGUGCUCAUGUUGUUAGUCCUAGUGACAUGAUGGAUGGCUGAGCUGCAGCAAUAUGAGCAGAUCUGGAUGCUGAAGGCUUUCAGGAUGUGUCCAUUAUGUCCUACACUGCACAGUUAUAUUAUCAGAUUUCAACUUCUCUGUAUGCUAGUUCAUCUUAAGGUCCAUUUAGAGAAGCUUUAGAUUCCGAUCCAUGCUUCGGGGACAAGAAAACAAGUGUAUCUCAUUAAUAGCAUGAUGGAAUUUAUUGAGGUAGUUCAUCUUCUCGUUCAGUCCUAAGUGCUUGUCUGGCUUAUUUGAUAAAAGUUAUCAGAUGAACCUAGCAAAUUAUAGAGAAGCCCCUGUUGAAACUGAGGCAGAUGAGGAUGAAGGAGCGGAUAUUCUUUUGGCAGGUAAAACCAGCAAUGCCAUAUUUGGAUGUUGUAUGGCUUCUUCAAGAUAAUUCUGCUUUACCUUUUGCUGCAUAUCAGGUAUAUAUUAUUGUCAGAUCACUUCAUCAUGCAUCUUUUAAGCAUUAGUUUACUAUCUUCCUCAUCGUACAUUGUAUGUUUUGCUCAUAAGUGUUUUACUGUACUAAGAACAGUUCAUCUCUUGAUUAAUCUUCCGUCUAGUUAUUAAUUGGCUGCUGGAAACUCUGUUGACAGACAACUUUGUUCAUAGAUGAUGAUGUUGAUCUACUUCUCUACAUUUUUUCCCAAAUGGCUGUUUGAUCUAUCUACUUCUUGCUGUCUUCUUGUUUCUUUAGUGAAUAGGUCAUAGCAAGGAGACUCACCUCUUGAUGCCUAUGCUUUAAUUUUCUGCUUAUGUUAUUGCAUCCUACAUGAUAACCAACAAGCCUCUCCAUAUGUCUCUUGAUGCAUGCAUGGUAGUUGGAACACUUCAACUGAUGGACUGUCUGGCGGGCAUUAAAGUUCUUCUUAUUGCCAACUCAUGUCACAAGCUAGAAGAGAAUUUAGCGAAACAGAAAUUGUUCUAAGUGACUUAUGUAAUUGAGCAUAAAUUAGCAAAAACAUCUUCUUGGACAAAUAAUGGUCAAUUUGCAGGCAGGGGAUGUUAUCUGAAACUGGAAAACCAGCUUAAUCUGGAUGGGCCAAACUAUGGCAUGUAUUAAUGCCCCUCAGAGAAGUUGUGAGCAUUAUAACUACUUUAGGGGGAUCCUACUU